UUUUCUGAGGCACAUGGAUCUACGUGAGCUCUUAAAUUGCUGGAAUUACGAACAUAUAAAUAUAAAUAGUUUGCAUGUGCAUGAUGUUUAGUUCUGUUUUGUGAUCUUAUGUUUUGUCGCAUGAGGACACGCAACGAUUUAAGUUUGGGGGUAUUUGAUGAAUGAGUAGUAUACCCAUAAAUUGGAUAUAUUUAGACUUAAAUUAUUUCAUUCUUAAAGUAUUUAGUAGCAUUUUUAUUGUGUUUAUAUCUUGUUUUGCAGAUUUGGAAGCUG
rnacentral:lncRNA from 1 species